rnacentral:sRNA from 1 species
GGAGGCCGAAAGCUCCGAAAAGCUCCGGUCGAAGGGAUAUUCGAUGACGGCCCCAAAGCCCAUUCCCUCGAGGAUGCGGGCUUUCAGCGGUGCCGGGGUGAGGCGGAAUACCGGCGUGUCGGGCCGGAACACGGUACGCGGAUGCGGCUCGAAGGUGAGCACGA